rnacentral:rRNA from 1 species
UUCGAGACGAGGACGUGGAUAGGCUGGGUGUGUAAGCGUUGCGAGACGUUGAGCUAACCAGUACUAAUGAACCGUGCGGCUUAACCUG